GAAAGAGCGGGUGGGGGAGGGGGACUGCGCGUCACUCACUGUUCUCCCCCCCUCCCCCGCACAG
rnacentral:miRNA from 1 species